UGAGGAAUAUUGGGCAAUGCCCGAAAGGGUGACCCAGCAACGCCGCGUGGAGGAUGAAUGUCGUCAGAUUGUAAACUUCUGUUAGAGGGGAAGAAUAGUACCGGUUGGACCGUUAUAUGACUGUACCCUCAGAGAAAGCACAGGCUAACUACGUGCAAGCAGCCGCGGCAAUACGUAGGGGACAAGCGUGGUCCGGAUUUACUGGGUGUAAAGGGCGGGCAGGCGGGAUAAAAAGUCAGUGGUGAAAUCCUACAGCUUAACUGCAGAACUGCCGUUGAUACUGUUACACUUGAGUGCGGGAGAGGGGAACGGAAUUCCAGGUGUAGUGGUGAAAUACGCAGAUAUCUGGAAGAACACCAGUUGCGAAGGCGGUCUCUUGGUCCGACACUGACGCUGAGGCGCGAAAGCGUGGGGAGCAAACA
rnacentral:rRNA from 1 species